GAUGAGGUGGCCGAGAGGUUAAGGCGAUGGACUGCUAAUCCAUUGUGCUCUGCACGCGUGGGUUCGACGUCCCUCAUCG
rnacentral:tRNA from 1 species